AAAUAUCAUUGUUUUUGUCUUGUCAAGAUUGACAGUCAAGUUCCAUUUUUCACAAUAAGUAUUUAACUUGUUUAGACAAUUUUGUAAACUUCUGAGGAUUCUGAUAUUAAUACUAAGUCAUCAGCAUAUAAAAGACUAGACAAUUUUAUGUCAUGUAAUGUUACAGGAUCACAUGUGUUAUCAAACAUUGAGGUUAAAUCAUUUAUAUAAAAAGAAAAUAAGGUAGGACUUAGAAUGCAGCCUUGUUUUACUCCAACUGUGGAAGGGAACAUAUUAGUAAUGCAUUCAGUGACUUUAACUGCAAAAAACUUCUUUGUACAUAUCUUUUAGAAUAUUAAAGAAUGGUCCAUUUAUGUUAUAUUCAGCAAGUUUGUGCAACAGAGCCUCUCUAUUUAUA
rnacentral:lncRNA from 1 species